CAUUCUGUAGCAAUACAGGAUGUGGGCGCGUGGCGAACGGGUGCGUAACACGUGGAUAACCUUCCUUCAGGUGGGGAAUAACCCAGCGAAAGUUGGGCUAAUACCGCAUCACAUUACGAGGGCACAUGCUCUUGUACUCAAAGCCGCAAGGCGCCAGAAGAGGGAUCCGCGGCCGAUUAGCUUGUUGGCGAGGUAAUGGCUCACCAAGGCAAUGAUCGGUAGCCGGACUGAGAGGUUGGCCGGCCACACUGGAACUGAGACACGGUCCAGACUCCUACGGGAGGCAGCAGUGGGGAAUCUUGCGCAAUGGGCGAAAGCCUGACGCAGCAACGCCGCGUGGGGGAUGAAGCUUCUCGGAGUGUAAACCCCUUUCGACCCGGAAGAAUGCCCGCAAGGGUUUGACGGUACGGGUAUAAGAAGCCCAGGCUAACUACGUGCCAGCAGCCGCGGUAAUACGUAGGGGGCCAGCGUUGCUCGGAAUUACUGGGCGUAAAGGGUCCGUAGGCGGUGUGGCAAGUCGGGAGUGAAAUCUCUGGGCUUAACUCAGAGGCUGCUUCCGAAACUGCCGUGCUAGAGUGUGAGAGAGGCGAGUGGAAUUGCGGGUGUAGCGGUGAAAUGCGUAGAUAUCCGCAGGAACAUCCGAGGCGAAAGCGGCUCGCUGGAUCACAACUGACGCUGAGGGACGAAAGCUAGGGGAGCAAACAGGAUUAGAUACCCUGGUAGUCCUAGCCCUAAACCAUCAGGACUUGGGGUUUGCCCUGUACGGGGCAAGUCCCGUAGCUAACGCGUUAAGUCCUGCGCCUGGGGAGUACGGUCGCAAGACUGAAACUCAAAGGAAUUGAC
rnacentral:rRNA from 1 species